GGCCGGUUAGCUCAGUGGUUUGAGCAAGGUGCUGACAACAACGACCAGCACCAAGGUUGUGGGUUUGAUUCCCGCUCGGUCC
rnacentral:tRNA from 1 species